UACAGCGGUCUCGAGCGUUGUUCGGAUUCAUUGGGCGUAAAGGGUGCGUAGGUGGCGCCGUAAGUCGGGUGUGAAAUUUCGGAGCUUAACUCCGAAACUGCAUUCGAUACUGCGGUGCUUGAGGACUGGAGAGGAGACUGGAAUUCAUGGUGUAGCAGUGAAAUGCGUAGAGAUCAUGAGGAAGACCAGUGGCGAAGGCGGGUCUCUGGACAGUUCCUGACACUGAGGCACGAAGGCCAGGGGAGCAAACGGG
rnacentral:rRNA from 1 species